rnacentral:rRNA from 1 species
UACGUAGGUGGCAAGCGUUGUCCGGAAUUAUUGGGCGUAAAGCGCGCGCAGGCGGUCCUUUAAGUCUGAUGUGAAAGCCCACGGCUCAACCGUGGAGGGUCAUUGGAAACUGGGGGACUUGAGUGUAGGAGAGGAAACUGGAAUUUACGGUGUAGCAGUGAAAUGCGUAGAUAUCGUAAGGAAGACCAGUGGCGAAGGCGAGUUUCUGGACAGUUACUGACGCUGAGGCACGAAGGCCAGGGGAGCAAACGGG